CUGACCUAUCAGCUUUCGACGGCAUGGUAUUGUUUUACCGGGGCAGGGACGGGUAACGUUGGAUAGGGUUCGAUUCCGGAGAGGGAGCCUGAGAAACGGCUACCACAUCUAAGGAAGGCAGCAGGCGCGCAAAUUACCCAAUUCUAACAGCAUAAGAGAGGUAGUGACAAGAAAUAACAAUACAAGGCAGUUAAAAUGCUUUGUAAUUGGAAUGAUAGAAAUUUAAACACUUUUUAAAGUAUCAAUUGGAGGGCAAGUCUGGUGCCAGCAGCCGCGGUAAUUCCAGCUCCAAUAGCGUAUAUUAAAAUUGUUGCAGUUAAAAAGCUCGUAGUUGAAUUUCUGCUAAAAAUAACCGGUCUGCUUUUAAUAAAGGUGGUAUCUUGGUGUGUUUUUAGCAAUAAUGUCCUUUGAAAUGUUUUUUACUUCAUUGUAAUAAAUUAUUUUCAGGAUUUUUACUUUGAGAAAAUUAGAGUGUUUCUAGCAGGCUAACGCUUUGAAUACUGCAGC
rnacentral:rRNA from 1 species